rnacentral:rRNA from 1 species
AUACGGAGGAUCCGAGCGUUAUCCGGAUUUAUUGGGUUUAAAGGGUGCGCAGGCGGCCAUUUAAGUCAGCGGUUAAAUCGUGGGGCUCAACCCCAUUCUGCCGUUGAUACUGGGUGGCUUGAUUGCGGUCGAGGUUGGCGGAAUUCGUUGUGUAGCGGUGAAAUGCAUAGAUAUGACGAAGAACACCGAUUGCGUAGGCAGCUGACCAGACCGCAAAUGACGCUCAUGCACGAAAGUGUGGGGGUCGAACAGGAUUAGAUACCCUGGUAGUCCGCACAGUAAACGAUGAAUACUUGUUUUCGGCGAUAUAAUGUCGGAGGCAAAGCGAAAGCGAUAAGUAUUCCACCUGGGGAGUACGCCGGCAACGGUGAAACUCAAAGGAAUUGACGGGG